ensembl:lncRNA
CUUUAUACCACAGGCUGGACAGUCCAUGUCCUUACAACAGGCUGGACAGUACAUGUCCUUACAACAGGCUGGACAGUUCAUGUCCUUACAACAGGCUGGACCAUCCAUGUCCUUACAACAGGCUGGACAAUCCAUGUCCUUACAACAGGCUGGACCAUCCAUGUCCUUACAACAGGCUGGACAAUCCAUGUCCUUACAACAGGCUGGACUAUCCAUGUCCUUACAACAGGCUGGACAAUCCAUGUCCUUACAACAGGCUGGACCAUCCAUGUCCUUACAACAGGCUGGACCAUCCAUGUCCUUACAACAGGCUGGACCAUCCAUGUCCUUACAACAGGCUGGACCAUCCAUGUCCUUACAACAGGCUGGACAAUCCAUGUCCUUACAACAGGCUGGACCAUCCAUGUCCUUACAACAGGCUGGACCAUCCAUGUCCUUACAACAUGCUGGACCAUCCAUAUCCUUACAACAGGCUGGACCAUCCAUGUCCUUACAACAGGCUGGACCAUCCAUGUCCUUACAACAGGCUGGACAGUCCAUGUCCUUACAACAGGCCGGACAAUCCAUGUCCUUACAACAGGCUGGACCAUCCAUGUCCUUACAACAGCAUGUAGAAGUCUGAUGUCCCUUUAUACCACAGGCUGGACCAUGUCCUUACAACAGCAGGUAGAAGUCUAAUGUCCCUUUAUACCACAGGCUGGACCAUGUCCUUACAACAGCAGGUAGAAGUCUGAUGUCCCUUUAUACCACAGGCUGGACAGUCCAUGUCCUUACAACAGGCUGGACAGUCCAUGUCCUUACAACAGGCUGGACAGUCCAUGUCCUUACAACAGGCUGGACAGUCCAUGUCCUUACAACAGGCUGGACAGUCCAUGUCCUUACAACAGGAUGGACAGUCCAUGUCCUUACAACAGGCUGGACAGUCCAUGUCCUUACAACAGGCUGGACAGUCCAUGUCCUUACAACAGGCUGGACAGUCCAUGUCCUUACAACAGGCUGGACAGUCCAUGUCCUUACAACAGGCUGGACAGUCCAUGUCCUUACAACAGGCUGGACAGUCCAUGUCCUUACAACAGGAUGGACAGUCCAUGUCCUUACAACAGCAGGUAGAAGUCUGAUGUCCCUUUAUACCACAGGCUGGACAGUCCAUGUCCUUACAACAGGCUGGACAGUCCAUCUCCUUACAACAGGCUGGACAGUCCAUGUCCUUACAACAGGCUGGACAGUCCAUGUCCUUACAACAGCAGGUAGAAGUCUAAUGUCCCUUUUUGGGAACCCACUAAGUUACUUAUGAACUCAAUCUGAACCUUUAAGUAUUAACUAGUGGUUCUGGUGAAACAUGUCCUUUCAGUAUUAACUAGUGGUUCUGGUGAAACAGGUCCUUUAAGUAUUAACUAGUGGUUCUGGUGAAACAUGUCCUUUAAGUAUUAACUAGUGGUUCUGGUGAAACAUGUCCUUUAAGUAUUAACUAGUGGUUCUGGUGAAACAGGUCCUUUAAGUAUUAACUAGUGGUUCUGGUGAAACAGGUCAUUUCAGUAUUAACUAGUGGUUCUGGUGAAACAGGUCCUUUAAGUAUCUUCACAACAUCCCCAUACAUCUUAUUACCUGUUCUGUCUGGAUGUAACAGGCUGCCUAGUAAAUUAAAUGUCUUUGGCCCCAUUACACAUGAAAAAACUAUAAGUACAAUGUUGUCCUCAUCAAUGUAACUUACAAUAACAAAAUAUUCAAACCGUUCUGUAUAUGAGGUCCUCUGGUCAAUACUUUCAUCAAACUGUUCAAUGUUUCCAACAAUUCACACCAUGUUUUUCAUUUCUCAAUAGGCUCAUGAUUGUCCUCAACCACAGCAAUAUUUUCCUCAGUC